AACUUCUGAAUGUUGACCUCGGAUCAGGUAGGAAUACCCGCUGAACUUAAGCAUAUCAAUAAGCGGAGGAAAAGAAACUAACAGGGAUUGCCCCAGUAACGGCGAGUGAAGCGGCAACAGCUCAAAUUUGAAAUCUGGCUCUCGGGCCCGAGUUGUAAUUUGUAGAGGAUGCUUUUGGUGAGGUGCCUUCCGAGUUCCCUGGAACGGGACGCCAUAGAGGGUGAGAGCCCCGUCUGGUCGGACACCGAUCCUCUGUAAAGCUCCUUCGACGAGUCGAGUAGUUUGGGAAUGCUGCUCUAAAUGGGAGGUAUAUGUCUUCUAAAGCUAAAUACCGGCCAGAGACCGAUAGCGCACAAGUAGAGUGAUCGAAAGAUGAAAAGAACUUUGAAAAGAGAGUUAAAAAGUACGUGAAAUUGUUGAAAGGGAAGCGCUUGUGACCAGACUUGGGCUUGGUUGAUCAUCCAGGGUUCUCCCUGGUGCACUCUUCCGGCCCAGGCCAGCAUCAGUUCGCCCCGGGGGAAAAAGGCUUCGGGAAUGUGGCUCUCUCCGGGGAGUGUUA
rnacentral:rRNA from 1 species